rnacentral:lncRNA from 1 species
AUUCAUUUGCUGCUGAUGCCGCUGAGCUAAGAGAACAAAGCUGAAAAGGAUAGUAAAAGGUGGAUCAGCAAACAAGAACCGAUGGAAGUUAAAGCACAAGAACAAGUGCUGUAGAUUAGAUUACAUCUUUUCUUGCAUAAAGGUCCGAGCUCUGAGAAGAUCCGCAUCCAUACCGAACCCAGCAUGAGAGGCCCCACUGCCAGCAGCUACUAUAUUCGGGACAACAUUGCCAUUUUGCGGAGACACACCGGGCAACUGAGCGCCCGAUUGACUAGAAACAUGCCCCGACAUAUCCGCCUGUACAUUCAUCGAGUCAAUCCACAAAAGCCCUCACUCUUCCCGUAAUCAUUCAAAUUCACAAAGGGUCUACGCAUGCCCGAGCUGGCGCUACACGCAUAAAAAAGCUCUAUUCACAGUGAACAAACCACACCCAACACCGCCAGGCACCUGUCGAGACAGCCACGACGAGAGAUUACAGAGGGCAUCGACAGAACAAGCAAAAGCAAACGACAUUCCACAUCACUCUCCCGGAAAUUUUUCCGAGCACGGGGAAUUUGGGGGAGAAAAGAAAAUCCCACAUCGAGAUGACGAAAAAGAUAAAAGCUUUGGUAACGGGGGACGGAUUGAAGGACCAGAGAACCGCCGGGUCGGAAACAGUAACCCUAAGGCACCCAAAGGACACCCCCCGGCGAAACCCUAGGGAGGGCGAAAUCGGGAGGACGAACCUGAAGCGAUGCGCGAUUGGCGGCCGGAGGAGCGACGGUGCGGCGGCGGCGAUCUCAAUUCGGUGCUCAAUCGGAUUGGUCGUGAACUCGACGAUCGACGAUCGACGAUCGACGGAGGAAUUUGGGGAAAGCAGAGAGAGAAGGGAGCGAGGAGAAAAGAGAGGACUGCUGGGCUUCCCGACUCCCAACACGUGCGAGUUCUCACGCGCGAACGGGGCGAGCCAAUUAUAUAUCCAUUUGGAUCAAAUAUAAGCGACGACGGCGAGAGAGAGAGAGAGAGAGAAUGGAAGGGAGCUGGAGAUAUUUAUCAUUAAUUAACCAAGGUCAUAAAUUAGAUUAUAACUUUAUGUGCUUAUCGUAUGCUUCUUCACUCGGGAGGAUUUUUUCCCUUUUUCGGGUGGUUUGGAUAUCGACUCGAGAUUAGUUGUCUCGACACAAAAAAAUGAAUGUGUGAACAAUGAGCUGUAAUGAAAAUAUGCAGUAUUUCAAACGGUACUUUAAUUAUAUCUUUUUUAUGGUAAAAUAUUUUAAUCAUAUCUUUUGUAAGAAAAAAGCGUGUAGAAUUCAUUUAGGAAUGAUGUUUUCAUUUUUCGGGUCGAAUUAUAUAUUGGCUUAGGGUCAAUUGUUUCAAGGCAAAAAAAUAAUCUGAGUGUACGAUGAGGCGUGAUGAAAGCGCACACCAUUUCGAAUGAUACUUUAAUUAUAUCUCACGUGCGGUACAUUUAUAGAAAUUAUUCACAACAGUUUAAAAUCGGAAAUGUUUCUUUAUAAGUAUGCGGUUAGCUUUUUCCAUUUAACGUUAGCCAGAGAUUCGGGUUUCAAUUUUUUUCAAAUAUUAUUAAUUAAAUAUCCUAUAUAUAUUGAUGAUAAUUCGAGUUAUGAAUAAGAUUCAUGGAAUAUGAUGUAUUUAUUGCAAUCAUCUUUUUUUUUUUAAUAUGUGAUCAUUCACAGCAUUUAAGAGAGAAAGUCUGGGACCAAAAAGGGGAAGAAAAUCCCGUUCGAUAGAUUGGGAAAUUACUCUCACACUCCAUGGUCGAAUUUUGAUCAAGUUAUUCAUCUUCAUUUAAAAAAACUCCAUAAACGUUAUCGCAAUUUACUACUAAUUUCCUCCAGCAUUUCUUGAACUGGUUUUUAAAGUCGCGUUUGGGAGAUAAAUUCCCAUUGCGGUAAUAAUGUCACUUUAUGCAAGCUGCAGUGAUUUUUGCGAAACGCGUCGAGGGAUUAAUUAAUAUAAAUUUGUGUCAUUUGGCAAUUGACGGAUCUAUAGUUCAACCACUCGGGGAAGCUUAAGAUAAUGUACAUUUGUUAAUCAGAGUUUUCGCAAUGCUCAUAUAUUAUGAAAACGAUUUCUUUUUAUUAAGAGUAUCCUUAAAGAUCACUUCACCUUCAUUAGAUUUAACAAAAAAAUUCAAUGCAGGAUCUUAAUAUUUUGCAGAUACCUAUCCAUAGAAAAGAAAUUACAUAAAAGAAUUCGAGUAUCAUGUUUGUAACGAUAUUGCUAGAAAAUCAAAGUCUCGUUUAUUCAUCACCGCACUGAAUUUCACAUAGUUACAAUACAAGACAUCUUAUUGCUUAUUCAGCUGAAUAUAUAUUGAGCAUGUAGUAGUAAUACUCUCUAAGUUACUCUCAGUCUUCACUCCCUUUCAGCUGGAUAUUACUCGUUUAGUGUGCCUAUGCUUUGAGAAUUUGCCAAUUGUCCAACAGAAGUUCCAGCAGUGUAUAGAUUUCCACUAUUAUUAUUAAUUCUGGGAGUCGGAAUCAUCUGGCUGCUCAUUCUUGGCACACCCAUCUGUGACAGGGUUGUUUCCUCCAGAACCAAUGGGAUAGUUCGCUUGAGCUUGCUGAUACCCAUUGGAAAGCAGACCUACACCAUUACAAAGGGUAAAAUUGUUGCCAAAAUAAUGCCAAAAGUUUCUAAAACCAAAUUGCAUGACAUUGACAUUUACCAUCAGUUCGGUUAAAGGAACUGCUCUGCAUGACACCACUUGACAUAAGGUUUCCCGUGUUUGCAUUCGUGGGCUGCACGCUGCUGCUCCCACCCAUAUUACUCAUUUGUGCACCCACUGGAUUAGGAUUCACUUGAUUUCGAUUAUUAGGAGAUGGACGCUUGAUCAAACUAUGCAACCGGAACUCCAAUGUGCUCAUAUUCAAAUACUCCUCCUACAUAGUAGUAAUUUUAAGAUAGCAAAAAGAAUGUCAUGUCAUAUUCACCAAACAGAAAAAGGAAAAAUGAUAAUCAUGAGAAAAAAACAUGUGAAACCAGGCAAGAGAAAUGAAUAGAUUAUUGGCUUUCGCCAAUGUAACAUGUAAAGCACAAUAAAAAAUUCCAAUAAAGGAUAAUCACAAGCCACUUAUUGUACUUUUACUAAGGAGAAGAAGAGAGAAUUGAUGAGGAGGGGAAGACCUUGGAGGGAGCAGUUUUGAAGAGACCCUCUUCCAGGCGUUUGACGAUAUCCUUCAGCUUCUGUCUUUGAGAGUCAUUCAUUCGCUGAUGAUACCGCUGAUGAUGCCGCUGAGCUAAGAGAAGAAAGCUGAAAAGGAUAGUAAAAGGUGGAUCAGCAAACAAGAACCGAUGGAAGUUAAAGCACAAGAACAAGUGCUGUAGAUUAGCUUACAUCUUUUCUUGCAUAUAGUUCCGAGCUCUGAGAAGAUCCGCAUCCAUACCGAACCCACCAUGUGGGGCCCCACUGCCAGCAGCUACUAUAUUCGGGACAACAUUGCCAUUUUGCGGG